GCCGGGAACUCUAAGGAGACUGCCGGUGACAAACCGGAGGAAGGUGGGGACGACGUCAAGUCAUCAUGGCCCUUGCGAGUAGGGCUACACACGUGCUACAAUGGCCGGUACAAAGGGUUGCGAGCUCGCGAGAGUCAGCUAAUCCCGAAAAGCCGGUCUCAGUCCGGAUCGGAGUCUGCAACUCGACUCCGUGAAGUCGGAAUCGCUAGUAAUCGUGAAUCAGAAUGUCACGGUGAAUACGUUCCCGGGCCUUGUACACACCGCCCGU
rnacentral:rRNA from 1 species